rnacentral:rRNA from 1 species
GCAGUCGAGGGGUAGGAGGCUUUCGGGCUCUUGAGACCGGCGCACGGGUGCGUAACGCGUAUGCAAUCUGCCUUUCACAGAGGGAUAGCCCAGAGAAAUUUGGAUUAAUACCUCAUAGCAUUACAGGAUGGCAUCAUCCUGCAAUUAAAGUCACAACGGUGAAAGAUGAGCAUGCGUCCCAUUAGCUAGUUGGUAAGGUAACGGCUUACCAAGGCGACGAUGGGUAGGGGUCCUGAGAGGGAGAUCCCCCACACUGGUACUGAGACACGGACCAGACUCCUACGGGAGGCAGCAGUGAGGAAUAUUGGUCAAUGGACGCAAGUCUGAACCAGCCAUGCCGCGUGCAGGAUGACGGUCCUAUGGAUUGUAAACUGCUUUUGCACAGGAAGAAACACUCCGACGUGUCGGAGCUUGACGGUACUGUGAGAAUAAGGAUCGGCUAACUCCGUGCCAGCAGCCGCGGUAAUACGGAGGAUCCAAGCGUUAUCCGGAAUCAUUGGGUUUAAAGGGUCCGUAGGCGGUCUUGUAAGUCAGUGGUGAAAGCCCAUCGCUCAACGGUGGAACGGCCAUUGAUACUGCAGGACUUGAAUUAUUGGGAAGUAACUAGAAUAUGUAGUGUAGCGGUGAAAUGCUUAGAGAUUACAUGGAAUACCAAUUGCGAAGGCAGGUUACUACCAAUUUAUUGACGCUGAUGGACGAAAGCGUGGGUAGCGAACAGGAUUAGAUACCCUGGUAGUCCACGCCGUAAACGAUGGAUACUAGCUGUUGGGAGCAAUCUCAGUGGCUAAGCGAAAGUGAUAAGUAUCCC